UAUACCGUGCGUGUGACAAGUCGAGUCCACGGAGAAGCACGUUUUGCACAACUAUGUUGACGUUUCUGUGCUAACAACAUUCAACAGAAUGAAAAAGUUGACUUCUGAUGUCAAGCAAGCACUGACAAAUUCAGUGGUAGUGGAGAUUCUGAACAAUCCACCAGAAGAUGCCAGAAGAAAACCUGGAAUCUUCCCGAAGACAGUAAAGAGAAAACCCGUUGCUCUCAACACCAGUGAGUGCAGUGUUGUAGGAAUGAAUGGUUGGAUUUGAUGCAGGAGUACUUAACACUACAGAAAUGUAGCAUGUCCUCUUUGAAGAAAUCCUUGUCCGAGAUUAAACAGAUGACUGAAGGGAAAAUAGAGGCUGAAUCAUGUCAACCAACCGAUAAUACAAUCAAAGCAAACAACAAAAAAGCCCAGCCCCCUGAGAAGGCGGCCCCCCAAGGACCUCAGUUUGUGAGUGGAGCCGUAGUCAAAAUCACCCACGAUGAUCCCCUACCAGGCAGGAAAUGCAUCAAGGAUGCUUUGUCAGAAGUGGCUGCUGUGGUUUAUGUGGACAUGUUGGGGGGAGAUGCAGAGGGCCAUGUCCGGUUUAAAACUCCAGGUGACACCAAGACUGUGAUAGAGUCUCGUGCUGAGAUUCAGAAGAAACACCACUGGAAACUGGACAUCCUGUCUGCUGAGCGGUGGUGUAAAUAAUGCAUGUUGUCUAAAUACAAAAACAUAACUAUUGCAUGUUGAUGAUUUUUUUUUUUUUUUUUUUUUUUUUUUUUUUUUUAAAUAAAAUGUUUUACAAACUUCAGUUUUAGUUUUGGUGUGACUUGAAAAACGACUUGACCAGCAUUUGGAAUAAGGGAAACAGUGCAGCCUCAAAAAUGAGCCUGGUAUAGCAUAAAUAUUCUGGUAAUAUUUCGAUCAUUAGCAAUGUUUUACAAAACAAGUGUAACACUGCCAACUACCAACUAACAUUCCCCUUGAAGGGUCUUUGAUAUUAUCCUUUGAGAAGUCAUGGAAGAUUCUCCUGAAUUUUAUGGGGGGGUAUGAACCGUAAUCUAGUAAUAAUUAUGUUUAAAGUUAAUUCUGUUGUUUUUUCUUAAAGGAAUGUGUUAGUUACUGAAAUGUUUUAGAUCAUUUGUACUUCAUACAUAAACAAUUAAGGUGAUAAUGAACAAAGGUACUGGCAGAAGAUUUUGGUGGACAGACAAGCAAAGCUCAAUCGUCCAAGGAACAAAAAAUGAGGCACAGAAGAGGUGAAAGAAAAUGCUUGCUUGUGACAAAAUACAUAAAGAAAACUAACAGCACUUUUGGCUAAUUUUUGUUUUUCUUUUUUUGUCUUUUAAGCUGAUUGCAAAAACUGAGAAAGUAAUUGUGGCUAGAACAAAACAGGCAAGCAAGCACAAACGUUUCGAUUAAGCUUCAAGAUUAUUACUUUCUAUUGAAAGGGUUACAUUGUUUUGUUUUUUGUAAUUAACAAAAUGCAGAUUAUUUUUUUUUUUGUUUGUUCUGUAGAAUCAAAACCGUGUCCAUGUUUAUGACCUGAUUCCUUGUGAAUUCCUGUGAUUUUUUUAAAUGUAAAUAAUGUAUAGAUAAACCCUCUUACAGUGCUUGAUUGCUGUUGUGGUCAGAUCCAGUAUGAAAGGAUUCUGAUUUCUUAAAUGAUGGAGAUUACUUUUUAUUUAGCAGAAUGUUUGUGUAAAGUAUAAGUUUUUUUUUUUUUUUAUAUGUAUAAAGCUUUGGUGUAUAUCAGAGCCUAAUGUGAAACAGGAAAAUAAUGUCACACUGUUGGUAUUGGAUAAUACACAUGCUGUUUCUCCAUUUCAUACUUUUUAUGAGCUGGUUUUGACACAAUUUAUUUUUUGGGUUAAAAACUUAAUAAAACAUCUUCAGCUCA